rnacentral:ribozyme from 12 species
GAAAACAGGAAACAAAUGGAAAACAAGGCAUGAAUGUUUGUAUCUCACAAUUAUCUGUAUUUUUUGGCAACUUUCUCCAUUUUGUUUAUCUGCUUGAACAUAUUGUAAAACAAC